UACGGGGGGGCAAGCGUUGUUCGGAAUUACUGGGCGUAAAGGGCUCGUAGGUGGCCAACUAAGUCAGACGUGAAAUCCCUCAGCUUAACUGGGGAACUGCGUCUGAUACUGGAUGGCUUGAGUUUGGGAGAGGGAUGCGGAAUUCCAGGUGUAGCGGUGAAAUGCGUAGAUAUCUGGAGGAACACCGGUGGCGAAGGCGGCGUCCUGGACCAACACUGACACUGAAAAGCGAAAGCCAGGGGAGCAAACGGG
rnacentral:rRNA from 1 species